rnacentral:rRNA from 1 species
AGAAUCAACGCUGGCGGCGUGCCUAAUACAUGCAAGUCGAACGCGAAAGUGGAGCAAUCCAUGAGUAGAGUGGCAAACGGGUGAGUAACACGUGGGUGACCUGCCUUCGAAUGGGGGAUAACGUCCCGAAAGGGACGCUAAUACCGCAUAACAUCCUGUCUUUUAAGAGAUGGAGAUCAAAGCCGGGGAUCGCAAGACCUGGCGUUUGAAGAGGGGCCCGCGCCUGAUUAGCUAGUUGGUGGGGUAAUGGCUCACCAAGGCAACGAUCAGUA